AAAACGACUCUCGGCAACGGAUAUCUCGGCUCUCGCAUCGAUGAAGAACGUAGCGAAAUGCGAUACUUGGUGUGAAUUGCAAGAAUCCCGUGAACCAUCGAGUCUUUGAACGCAAGUUGCGCCCUAAGCCAUUUGGCCGAGGGCACGUCUGCCUGGGCGUCAAUC
rnacentral:rRNA from 2 species